UGGAUUGUCUGCUGCCUUGAGGCCGCCACCCCGAUGCGAUACUGCAGAGACAAUCUGUAUGUGCUGUUCAGGGAAGAACAGACAUACAAGUUGAAAGGUUAAAUCACCUGUGCAGUAAGAGCUGGAAAUGUUCUGUUAUCAGCAAUAAUUUAUGUAAGCAUCAUCUUGGAAGUGAAAUACUCCAGGCAUCUGAAGAGAAGAUGGUUAAAAUCAGUCACAACAGCCUAAGACUUACAAAUGUUGCUUGUGAGUAGGCAAACAUGAUUCUGAAAUAAAAACAAGUAUCAU